ensembl:lncRNA
AUGUUCCUGGACACCACUGUACUGUGUUCCUGGACACCACUGUUCUGUGUUCCAGGACACCACUGUUCUGUGUUCCUGGACACCACUGUACUGUGUUCCUGGACACCACUGUUCUGUGUUCCUGGACACCACUGUACUGUGUUCCUGGACACCACUGUACUGUGUUCCUGGACACCACUGUACUGUGUUCCUGGACACCACUGUACUGUGUUCCUGGACACCACUGUACUGUGUUCCUGGACGCCACUGUACUGUGUUCCUGGACACCACUGUUCUGUGUUCCUGGACACCACUGUUCUGUGUUCCUGGACACCUCUGUACUGUGUUCCUGGACACCACUGUUCAAUGUUCCUGGACACCACUGUACUGUGUUCCUGGACACCAUUGUUCUGUGUUCCAGGACACCACUGUUCUGUGUUCCUGGACACCACUGUACUGUGUUCCUGGACACCACUGUACUGUGUUCCUGGACACCACUGUACUGUGUUCAUGGACACCACUCUACUGUGUUCCUGGACACCACUGUUCUGUGUUCCUGGACACCACUGUUCUGUGUUCCUGGACACCUCUGUACUGUGUUCCUGGACACCACUGUUCAAAGUUCCUGGACACCACUGUACUGUGUUCCUGGACACCACUGUUCUGUGUUCCAGUACACCACUGUUCUGUGUUCCUGGACACCACUGUACUGUGUUCCUGGACACCACUGUGCCGUGUUCCUGGACACCACUGUACUGUGUUCCUGGACACCACUGUUCUGUACUGUGUUCCUGGACACCACUGUACUGUGUUCCUGGACACCACUGUUCUGUGUUCCUGGACACCACUGUUCUGUGUUCCUGGACACCACUGUGCUGUGUUCCUGGACACCACUGUGCUGUGUUCCUGGACACCACUGUACUGUGUUCCUGGACACCACUGUUCUGUGUUCCUGGACACCACUGUACUUUGUUCCUGGACACCACUGUUCUGUGUUCCUGGACACCUCUGUACUGUGUUCCUGGACACCACUGUUCUGUGUUCCUGGACACCACUGUUCUGUGUUCCUGGACACCUCUGUACUGUGUUCCUGGACACCUCUGUUCUAUGUUCCUGGACACCACUGUGCUGUGUUCCUGGACACCUCUGUUCUGUGUUCCUGGCCACCACUGUUCUGUGUUCCUGGACACCUCUGUUCUGUGUUCCUGGCCACCACUGUUCUGUGUUCCUGGACACAUCUGUUCUGUGUUCCUGGACACCACUGUGCUGUGUUCCUGGACACCACUGUGCUGUGUUCCUGGACACCACUGUACUGUGUUCCUGGACACCACUGUACUGUGUUCCUGGACACCACUGUACUGUGUUCCUGGACACCACUGUACUGUGUUCCUGGACACCACUGUGCUGUGUUCCUGGACACCACUGUACUGUGUUCCUGGACACCACUGUGCUGUGUUCCUGGACACCACAGUUCUGUGUUCCUGGACACCACUGUACUGUGUUCCUGGACACCACUGUACUGUGUUCCUGGACACCACUGUUCUAUGUUCCUGGACACCACUGUACUGUGUUCCUGGACACCACUGUGCUGUGUUCCUGGACACCACUGUACUGUGUUCCUGGACACCACUGUGCUGUGUUCCUGGACACCACUGUUCUGUGUUCCUGGACACCACUGUGCUGUGUUCCUGGACACCACUGUGCUGUGUUCCUGGACACCACUGUGCUGUGUUCCUGGACACCACUGUUCUGUGUUCCUGGACACCACUGUGCUGUGUUCCUGGACACCACUGUUCUGUGUUCCUGGACACCACUGUGCUGUGUUCCUGGACACCACUGUGCUGUGUUCCUGGACACCACUGUGCUGUGUUCCUGGACACCACUGUGCUGUGUUCCUGGACACCACUGUUCUGUGUUCCUGGACACCACUGUUCUGUGUUCCUGGACACCACUGUUCUGUGUUCCUGGACACCACUGUUCUGUGUUCCUGGACACCACUGUACUGUGUUCCUGGACACCACUGUUCUGUGUUCCUGGACACCACUGUUCUGUGUUCCUGGACACCUCUGUACUGUGUUCCUGGACACCACUGUUCAAUGUUCCUGGACACCACUGUACUGUGUUCCUGGACACCAUUGUUCUGUGUUCCAGGACACCACUGUUCUGUGUUCCUGGACACCACUGUACUGUGUUCCUGGACACCACUGUACUGUGUUCCUGGACACCACUGUACUGUGUUCAUGGACACCACUCUACUGUGUUCCUGGACACCACUGUUCUGUGUUCCUGGACACCACUGUUCUGUGUUCCUGGACACCUCUGUACUGUGUUCCUGGACACCACUGUUCAAAGUUCCUGGACACCACUGUACUGUGUUCCUGGACACCACUGUUCUGUGUUCCAGUACACCACUGUUCUGUGUUCCUGGACACCACUGUACUGUGUUCCUGGACACCACUGUGCCGUGUUCCUGGACACCACUGUACUGUGUUCCUGGACACCACUGUUCUGUACUGUGUUCCUGGACACCACUGUACUGUGUUCCUGGACACCACUGUUCUGUGUUCCUGGACACCACUGUUCUGUGUUCCUGGACACCACUGUGCUGUGUUCCUGGACACCACUGUGCUGUGUUCCUGGACACCACUGUACUGUGUUCCUGGACACCACUGUUCUGUGUUCCUGGACACCACUGUACUUUGUUCCUGGACACCACUGUUCUGUGUUCCUGGACACCUCUGUACUGUGUUCCUGGACACCUCUGUACUGUGUUCCUGGACACCACUGUUCUGUGUUCCUGGACACCACUGUUCUGUGUUCCUGGACACCUCUGUACUGUGUUCCUGGACACCUCUGUUCUAUGUUCCUGGACACCACUGUGCUGUGUUCCUGGACACCUCUGUUCUGUGUUCCUGGCCACCACUGUUCUGUGUUCCUGGACACCUCUGUUCUGUGUUCCUGGCCACCACUGUUCUGUGUUCCUGGACACAUCUGUUCUGUGUUCCUGGACACCACUGUGCUGUGUUCCUGGACACCACUGUGCUGUGUUCCUGGACACCACUGUACUGUGUUCCUGGACACCACUGUACUGUGUUCCUGGACACCACUGUACUGUGUUCCUGGACACCACUGUACUGUGUUCCUGGACACCACUGUGCUGUGUUCCUGGACACCACUGUACUGUGUUCCUGGACACCACUGUGCUGUGUUCCUGGACACCACAGUUCUGUGUUCCUGGACACCACUGUACUGUGUUCCUGGACACCACUGUACUGUGUUCCUGGACACCACUGUUCUGUGUUCCUGGACACCACUGUACUGUGUUCCUGGACACCACUGUGCUGUGUUCCUGGACACCACUGUACUGUGUUCCUGGACACCACUGUGCUGUGUUCCUGGACACCACUGUUCUGUGUUCCUGGACACCACUGUGCUGUGUUCCUGGACACCACUGUGCUGUGUUCCUGGACACCACUGUGCUGUGUUCCUGGACACCACUGUUCUGUGUUCCUGGACACCACUGUGCUGUGUUCCUGGACACCACUGUUCUGUGUUCCUGGACACCACUGUGCUGUGUUCCUGGACACCACUGUGCUGUGUUCCUGGACACCACUGUGCUGUGUUCCUGGACACCACUGUGCUGUGUUCCUGGACACCACUGUUCUGUGUUCCUGGACACCACUGUUCUGUGUUCCUGGACACCACUGUUCUGUGUUCCUGGACACCACUGUUCUGUGUUCCUGGACACCACUGUACUGUGUUCCUGGACACCACUGUUCUGUGUUCCUGGACACCACUGUUCUUUGCACUGACAUUUGA